UGGGGAAUUUUAGACAAUGGGCGCAAGCCUGAUCCAGCCAUGCCGCGUGUCUGAAGAAGGCCUUCGGGUUGUAAAGGACUUUUGUCAGGGAAGAAAAGGGCGGGGUUAAUACCCCUGUCUGAUGACGGUACCUGAAGAAUAAGCACCGGCUAACUACGUGCCAGCAGCCGCGGUAAUACGUAGGGUGCGAGCGUUAAUCGGAAUUACUGGGCGUAAAGCGGGCGCAGACGGUUACUUAAGCAGGAUGUGAAAUCCCCGGGCUCAACCUGGGAACUGCGUUCUGAACUGGGUGACUAGAGUGUGUCAGAGGGAGGUAGAAUUCCACGUGUAGCAGUGAAAUGCGUAGAGAUGUGGAGGAAUACCGAUGGCGAAGGCAGCCUCCUGGGAUAACACUGACGUUCAUGCCCGAAAGCGUGGGUAGCAAACA
rnacentral:rRNA from 1 species